rnacentral:rRNA from 1 species
AAUGAACGCUGGUGGCAGACCUAACACAUGCAAGUCGAACGGUCUAUAUUAAACUUCGGUUUUUUAUAGAUAGUGGCAAACGGGUGAGUAAAGCAUGGGAAUCUACCUAGAAGUUUGGAAUAGCUAUUAGAAAUGAUAGAUAAUACCAAAUACACCUCGAGAGGGAAAGUUGACUUCGGUCUUCGCUUUUAGAUGAGCCACUGUUAAAUUAAGUUAGUUGGUAGGGUAAGUGGCCGUACCAAGAUGAUGAUUUAUUAGCUGGUCUUAGUAGGAUGAUCAGCCACACUGGAAUUGAGAUACGGUCCAGACUCCUACGGGAGGGCAGCAGUGGGAAGUAUUGGACAAUGGGCGGCAAGCCUGAUCCAGUCAUGCCACGUGAGUGAUGAAGGUCUUAGGAUUGUAAAAACUCUUUUAGCAGGGAAAAAAAUGAUGGUACCUGCAGAAAAAGUCUCGGCUAACUUCGUGCCAGCCGCCGCGGU